GACGAACGCUGGCGGCGUGCUUAACACAUGCAAGUCGAACGGAAAGGCCCUGCUUUUGUGGGGUGCUCGAGUGGCGAACGGGUGAGUAACCCGUGAGUAACCUGCCCUUGACUUUGGGAUAACUUCAGGAAACUGGGGCUAAUACCGGAUAGGAGCUCCUGCUGCAUGGUGGGGGUUGGAAAGUUUCGGCGGUUGGGGAUGGACUCGCGGCUUAUCAGCUUGUUGGUGGGGUAGUGGCUUACCAAGGCUUUGACGGGUAGCCGGCCUGAGAGGGUGACCGGCCACAUUGGGACUGAGAUACGGCCCAGACUCCUACGGGAGGCAGCAGUGGGGAAUAGUGCACAAUGGGCGGAAGCCUGAUGCAGCAACGCCGCGUGCGGGAUGACGGCCUUCGGGUUGUAAACCGCUUUCGCCUGUGACGAAGCGUGAGUGACGGUAAUGGGUAAAGAAGCACCGGCUAACUACGUG
rnacentral:rRNA from 1 species